AAGGAGUAUGCCGAAAAUCCUAUGAAGAGUAGGCA
ncrna:unclassified sequences DTF805b RNA